UACGGGCUUGUGGGUGUGUAUAUGAUGGGGGGAUGAUGCCUGGGGCUGGGGUUCCAUCUGGGUCUUGGGUGUGCAUCUGCCAUAUGCAGCUUUUUUGGCCAAAUGCAAGUGCAAGUGCAACAAGUGUGUGCGGAUGACGAAAAUUGUUGCCAGUUGUGCGAAAUGCAAGGCCAAGAACAAACUUUGACCUCAAAGCCGGCCGAAAGGUCGUUCGAGUGUGCGUGAGUCCCAUGGAUAACCUCCUGGGUAUACAUAUGCGUGUGUGUGUGUGUGCUUGUGAUAUCCUUCUGGUUCAGGUCGGAGCGGCUUUUUUUAGAUGCCCCCCCGUUAGCCCUGGUCACAGCAUAUUUGAUUUGUUUUUGGCGUUUUUAUGCCCAGGCUCGGUCUCGUCUUCUUUUGCGGACUACCUACUGCUGUCCGGGCAAGGUCACAUGGAAGUCAAAGAUAUAAACAAUACUUGCAGAUAGAAUAUAUAUCUUUAUUCUUAAAUAUACACUUCUGUUGGUAUUUUCCGAACACCAAACUCUGAAGACAAACUGUCGCCACAUUUAUGAUUUUUCCGACGUAAUCGGUACAGACAUACGUACAUCAUUUGUGUAUGUAUGUAUGUAUAUAUAGCCUAUCCCAACAAUAUGCUUGAGGCAAACAUUCAUCAAAGUUAGCCAAGCGUUUGAAUAUGCAAAUAAUAAUGUUUACUCGAAACAAACAAUGCAGAAUAGUACGCCUAUUUUUCGGCCUUACCAGCGGGACUUAACGAUAAACGAAUCUAAUCGAAUUUUAUAACAAUAAAAAAUACAGCAAAAUUAUAAGAGUUCUUAUCACAGAAAUGGUAAAUUUGUGAAUUCGUCUAUGUGCACCCGUUUCGCUCAUAAAUAUUUUGAAAAUUGUUCACAUGUUCUUAGAUAAUCUUACCGCACCCAACACAACCAGACGAGCAAGUAAAUAUAGCAAUACGAGGGAAUCUAUGAACAAUCAAUUGAUAAUUUAUGUCGUUCAACCAAGAGCAAACAAAGAUUAAGCAGCGAAGAAAUGAAUGCACAACGAAGUUCAAAUGCUCUUCUAAUAAAAGUUCGAGUCAAAAGCAAUAUAAAGAUAAGUUAAGGAACAAACGUGACGGUAUUUCCCAGACAUUACACAACUUAUGGCCACAAUACCAAUACAACGAAUAACAAUUAGCACACAUAAAUAUGUACGUAAUCGCAAGACAAAUUUCUGACAGCCAUGAAAGUGAAAUUGAAAAUAAAGACCAUAAAUUUA